GUGCUUGCUUUGGCAACACAUAUAUUAAAAUUGUGAUGAUACAGAGACUAUUAGCAUGGCCUCUGCUCAGAAAUAACACUCAAAAAUAAUAAUAAUCCAGUGUUAAC